rnacentral:rRNA from 1 species
AGGAAUGUAUAGCAAUAGCUAGUUGCAUCAUUGUAAAGAUGAUGCAAUAUUGACUAUGUUGAAUAAAAUUCUAGGUAGAAUUAUGAUAAUGACAUUGUCUGCCUAUGUGUCUUGACCAAAUUACGUGCCAGCAGUCGCGGUAAUACGUAGAAGACUAGUGUUAUUCAUGUUUAAUCGGUUUAAAGGGUACCUAGACGGCAGAUCAAGCUUUCCGAGCAGAAAAAAAAAAAGGACUAAUUUGCUAGAGUUACUUACGAGGGGGUUUUAAAGUACUGCUGGUGUAGAGAUGAAAUUCUUUAAUACCUAUUUUCGAAAGAAUUAUAAUGGCACAGGUAUAGGCGAAGGCAUCCCCUUAUGUGAUAACUGACGUUGAGGGACGAAGGCUUUAUACAACGAACGGGAUUAGAUACCCCACUAGUGGAAGCAGUAAAUGAUGAAUGUCAUAGAUUAGCUAGAUAGGUUCAUUCUAUAAAUGAAAGUGUAAGCAUUCCACCUCAUGAGUAAUAUGGCAACAUUGGAAUUGAAAUCAUUAGACCGUAUCUGAAACCAGUAGUGAAGUAUGUUGUUUAAUUUGAUGAUCCGCAAAAAACCUUACCACAAUUUGAAUAUAUAUAUUUUUUAUUGUCUUGUCAUUAAUAUUGUUCUUUUUAUAACAUAAAAUUAAUAAAGAGGCAAUAAGAUAUAUUUACAAGCGUUGCACGGCUGUCUUCAGUUAAUGUCGCGAGAUUUUGGUUAGAUCCAUAAAAUUAACGUAAACCCUUACUUUAUUUUUAGAUAGAGUUGUUCCCCACUAUAUUGGAUAUGAU